rnacentral:rRNA from 1 species
AGUGAACGCUGGCGGUGGGCCUAACACAUGCAAGUCGAACGGCCGCACGGUAAGCGCUUGCUCUUACGGGUGGCGAGUGGCGGAUGGGUAAGGAAUACAUCGGAAUCUACUUUUUCGUGGGGGAUAACGUAGGGAAACUUACGCUAAUGCCGCAUACGACCUACGGGUGGAAGCAAGGGUUCUUCGGACCUUGCCCGAUUGUAUUAGACGGUGUCGGAUUAGCUAGUUGGCUGGGUAACGGCACACCAAGGCGACGAUCCGUAGCUGGUCUGAGAGGAUGAUCAGCCACACUGGAACUGAGACACGGUCCAGACUCCUACGGGAGGCAGCAGUGGGGAAUAUUGGACAAUGGGCGCAAGCCUGAUCCAGCCACACCGCGUGGGUGAAGAAGGCCUUCGGGUCGUAAAGCCCUGUUGUUGGGAAAGAAAAGAAGCAGGUUAAUCCGCCGAUGUUCUGACGGUACCUAAUGAAUAAGCACCGGCUAACUUCGUG